GUCUUUGGUUAUCUAGCUGUAUGAGUUUAUACUGUAUCAUAAAGCUAGAGAACCGAAUGU
rnacentral:pre_miRNA from 1 species